UCUAGAGAGGAUGUUCCUGCCAUGGUGGAACCUUUGAAGAUCGAUGCUGGCGGUGACAAGGAUGGUUAAGGUUCUGGCCGCGAAACCGACUCUGGUGGUCAUGAUCUGACAACAAUCAUUCUUGUUUGACGAAUCAGAUCUAUGUUUGAUCAAGUGCUUUGCCGGUUCGUGUUUCAUGUUUUACCUCUGCCCUUUCAUUCUUAGAUGACAUCAUCCAUCUCUCUGGUUGCUGAUAACCACAGGACUGCUGGUAUAUGGCAUAUAAAGCAAUUGAAGAUGCCGGUGGCUGGAAAGCUAGAACUGCUAUGGAGGACAUGGAUCUUGCAGUUUGGGCUAGCCUCAAGGGGUGGAAAUAUGUCUUUGUUGGGGACUUAGAGCGAGUCUCCUUUUGGGAGAAACUUCAUGUCCUUUAUGCAUACUUCUUUGUAAGGAAAAGAAUAGUACACGGGAUCACCAUUUUUAUUGUGUAAUUUUCCCGGUAAGCAUCAUGGUCCCAGAGGUUAAACUUUUAAAACCAAUAGCCAUAUAUUUUCCAGCAACAAUUACCGUUCAGAACUUAGCAUGCACCCUAAGGUAACAAAUUAUUGCAAUUUUUAUAUUAGUUAUAGUAUUAUUUGUUUCUU